rnacentral:misc_RNA from 1 species
CUAAAAUUACAUAAAUUUGAGAAAUUUCAAACUAUCAAAUAUUUUCUUUCUCACAAAAUUAAAUAAGUAUAGUAUUUUAAUUUAAUUAUUUUUUAUUUUUGACUUAUUUUAUCUCUAAUAAUAUUGGAACAAAAAAAAGAAAUGAAAUAAAAAGAUGGGGAAAAUUUGAUGAUGGUCCAGUUAGCAAAGCCCAUAUGGCCAUGGGGGCUCAACUGGCACCGGCCAGUUUUCCUUCCACCGUCCGGAGAUAGAGGCAUUCGCUGCUCUGUGAAUCCAGCCUCACGAGGUAUCCUCCGGUCUAGGAAACAGGUCUUCCAAGCAGCCAAGGUUUCCCAAGGGUCACGUGGUUCAACUCCUGGCUUGGAAUGGGCAGACCAGAAAUUAGCCGCAUUGUGCUAAACCUCCUGGACUAAGCCAAUGUUCCAUCACCUUGGUGCCUCCACUUGGAUUACAAGCUCCCGUCACUGAGCCCGGCGAUGGUUGAUGUAGGAUUUUGCAAUUUGCACAUGGCAUGCUUUUAUGCAGAAUGAGGCCAGAUCCAGAGAGGUUGAUGCUUAGAAAUCAUUACUGUAGUUGAUGAACACAAGCUUGAAUCCGUGUACCCACGCUGGACCUUGAGAAGCUGAUUGAGAUGCUAGAGAAGCAGAAUUCAGACAAGAAAGGGAUUGCACGGUCUCCUGACAAAAGGCCUCGGCGG